rnacentral:rRNA from 1 species
UACGGGGGGGGCAAGCGUUGUUCGGAAUUACUGGGCGUAAAGGGCGCGUAGGCGGCCUGUUAAGUCGAACGUGAAAUCCCCGGGCUCAACCCGGGAACUGCGUCCGAUACUGGCAGGCUUGAAUCCGGGAGAGGGAUGCGGAAUUCCAGGUGUAGCGGUGAAAAUGCGUAGAUAUCUGGAGGAACACCGGUGGCGAAGGCGGCAUCCUGGA